rnacentral:rRNA from 1 species
CGCGUAGGCGGUUUUUUAAGUCAGAUGUGAAAUCCCGGGGCUUAACCCCGGAAGUGCAUUUGAAACUGGAGGACUUGAGUAUGGGAGAGGGAAGUGGAAUUCCUGGUGUAGAGGUGAAAUUCGUAGAUAUCAGGAGGAACACCGGUGGCGAAGGCGACUUCCUGGACCAAUACUGACGCUGAGGCGCGAAGGCGUGGGGAGCAAACAGGAUUAGAUACCCUGGUAGUCC